rnacentral:rRNA from 1 species
GCAAGUCGAGCGGUAACAGAAAGUAGCUUGCUACUUUGCUGACGAGCGGCGGACGGGUGAGUAAUGCUUGGGAACAUGCCUUGAGGUGGGGGACAACAGUUGGAAACGACUGCUAAUACCGCAUAAUGUCUACGGACCAAAGGGGGCUUCGGCUCUCGCCUUUAGAUUGGCCCAAGUGGGAUUAGCUAGUUGGUGAGGUAAUGGCUCACCAAGGCGACGAUCCCUAGCUGGUUUGAGAGGAUGAUCAGCCACACUGGGACUGAGACACGGCCCAGACUCCUACGGGAGGCAGCAGUGGGGAAUAUUGCACAAUGGGCGCAAGCCUGAUGCAGCCAUGCCGCGUGUGUGAAGAAGGCCUUCGGGUUGUAAAGCACUUUCAGUCAGGAGGAAAGGUUAGUAGUUAAUACCUGCUAGCUGUGACGUUACUGACAGAAGAAGCACCGGCUAACUCCGUGCCAGCAGCCGCGGUAAUACGGAGGGUGCGAGCGUUAAUCGGAAUUACUGGGCGUAAAGCGUACGCAGGCGGUUUGUUAAGCGAGAUGUGAAAGCCCCGGGCUCAACCUGGGAACUGCAUUUCGAACUGGCAAACUAGAGUGUGAUAGAGGGUGGUAGAAUUUCAGGUGUAGCGGUGAAAUGCGU